rnacentral:misc_RNA from 1 species
GAUGAAGACGCAGCGAAAUGCGAUAAGUAAUGCGAAUUGCAGAAUUUCCGUGAGUCAUCGAAUCUUUGAACGCACAUUGCGCCCGCCAGCACUCUGGCGGGCAUGCCUGUUCGAGCGUCAUUUCAACCAUCAAGCCCCCAGGGGCUUGUGCUGGGGCCCUGCGGCUGCCCGCAGGCCCUGAAAACCAGUGGCGGGCUCGCUAGUCACACCGAGCGCAGUAGCACAUCUCGCUCAGGGCGUGCGGCGGGCUCCUGCCGUGAAACCCCCCACUGUAACCCCAAAGGUUGACCUCGGAUCAGGUAGGAAUACCCGCUGAACUUAAGCAUAUCAAUAAGCGGAGGA